UAGGGAAUCUUCCGCAAUGGGCGAAAGCCUGACGGAGCAACGCCGCGUGAGUGAUGAAGGUCUUCGGAUCGUAAAACUCUGUUAUUAGGGAAGAACAUAUGUGUAAGUAACUGUGCACAUCUUGACGGUACCUAAUCAGAAAGCCACGGCUAACUACGUGCCAGCAGCCGCGGCAAUACGUAGGUGGCAAGCGUUAUCCGGAAUUAUUGGGCGUAAAGCGCGCGUAGGCGGUUUUUUAAGUCUGAUGUGAAAGCCCACGGCUCAACCGUGGAGGGUCAUUGGAAACUGGAAAACUUGAGUGCAGAAGAGGAAAGUGGAAUUCCAUGUGUAGCGGUGAAAUGCGCAGAGAUAUGGAGGAACACCAGUGGCGAAGGCGACUUUCUGGUCUGUAACUGACGCUGAUGUGCGAAAGCGUGGGGAUCAAACAGGAUUAGAUACCCUGGUAGUCCACGCCGUAAACGAUGAGUGCUAAGUGUUAGGGGGUUUCCGCCCCUUAGUGCUGCAGCUAACGCAUUAAGCACUCCGCCUGGGGAGUACGACCGCAAGGUUG
rnacentral:rRNA from 1 species